AGGAUUAACGCUGGCGGCGUGCCUGACACAUGCAAGUCGAACGAGGCCGCAAGGCCGAGUGGCGGACGGGUGAGUAACACGUGACCAACCAACCUCGAAGUUGGGAAUAGCUCUGCGAAAGUAGGGGUAAUACCGAAUGUGGCCCAGGGCGGGCAUCCGCCUUGGUCUAAAGAUUCAUCGCUUCGAGACGGGGUCGCGGCCUAUUAGCUUGUUGGUGAGGUAACGGCUCACCAAGGCGAUGAUGGGUAGCUGGUCUGAGAGGACGACCAGCCACACUGGGACUGAGACACGGCCCAGACUCCUACGGGAGGCAGCAGUGAGGAAUCUUCCGCAAUGGGCGAAAGCCUGACGGAGCAACGCCGCGUGUGGGAUGAAGACUCUAGGGUUGUAAACCACUGGUCGGAGGGGACGAUCGUGACGGUACCCUCCAAGAAACGCCCCGGCUAACUACGCGCCAGCAGCCGC
rnacentral:rRNA from 1 species